rnacentral:rRNA from 1 species
CUACGGGGCGCACCAGUAAGGAAUAUUGCGCAAUGGAGGCAACUCUGACGCAGCCAUGCCGCGUGCAGGAAGAAGGCCUUAUGGGUCGUAAACUGCUUUUAUUUAGGAAUAAACCCCCGAACGUGUUCGGGGCUGAAGGUACUAAACGAAUAAGCACCGGCUAACUCCGUGCCAGCAGCCGCGGUAAUACGGAGGGUGCAAGCGUUAUCCGGAUUUAUUGGGUUUAAAGGGUGCGCAGGCGGGCUAUUAAGUCAGUGGUGAAAUCCCGGGGCUCAACUCCGGAACUGCCAUUGAUACUGAUAGUCUUGAGUUUGGUUGAAGUGGGCGGAAUGUAGCAUGUAGCGGUGACAUGCAUAGAUAUGCUACAGAACACCAAUCGCGAAGGCAGCUCACUAAGCCAAAACUGACGCCCAUGCACGAAAGCGUGGGGAUCAAACAGGAUUAGAUACCCGGGUAGUC